UGAACAUUGUCGCUCACCCAGCUUUGACUUUCCUUGUUGUUUAAUGAUGUAGAACCAUAGAAUUGGACACCAUCAUCUCCAUAUGGCAGUCCUUCCGACUGGAAUCUGAAAUCCCAUCUUGAUGGUGGUGGAGAGAAGCUUGAAUUAGGUCUCCAAUAGGGCUCAUGUGAACCCAUAGACCAAUCUCUACCUGCCAUAUUUGAUCCAUGUGGCCUUGCAGCCACACAACAAAGUGACCCCGUCUUAGCUAUUUCUAUAGGCCUCUGCAGUACCAAUCCCACUUGCUUGACUCCUUAAGUCUUGCCAGAAUUUUAUAACAUCUCUAGGAUAUAAUGUUUCCGAGGAGAUAUUACAAUAUGGAAGAGUACUUGUUGCCUGAUUCUGGACAUUUUAAAAGGGUUAUUUG
rnacentral:lncRNA from 1 species